UGGGAUUUAGCUCAGCGGCAUAAGCGCCUGCCUUGCAAGCAGGCAGUUGUGAGUUCGAUCCCCAGUACCAA
rnacentral:tRNA from 1 species